UGAGGCUUCUGCAGGUUUGUUUGAUCACCUGCCUUUCUACUUCUACGUUUAUGACCCUGCUGACGCCCGGGGAGAGGGCAGCACAGCUAGCCAGUCAGGAUGCUCUAAAGGUCAAGGGACCUCCACUGAGGCCAAUGAGCCCAAGGUUGCCAGGAUCAGAAGCAAACAUCCCUUAAGAGGAUACAACAGUGAGAGGCCACGCCCACAUCCAUGCUCCCAGUCUGGUUUCCAGACUUGGGCAUUCCGUCUAUGGGACAGCACCAUACAUGGCUGCUGGUUUAAGAGGCUCAAAAACGGAAGUGAGUCAUGUCUGCCUGUGUCCACCCUUCCGGUUUUAUCUUGGCAUUUCCGCUAUCUCACCCCAGCACGAAGAGAUCAGUGAUCUAGAUGGCUCACCUGGCAUUUUCCAACCCUGCAUGGUAUUCGCCAAUGAUUCUCUGCCCUUUUACCUUCUCCCUUCAUCAGAUUUUGGUGUCGGGGUUAUGUGAUUUGUUAAAUAAAUUAAUAACUUUCCUU